UCUCCUCCUUCUCUUGGCCGAAGAAAACAUCACAAACGAAAAAAAAAUUCUUCUUCUUCUUUCUUUUGAUUGAAAUCCAUCUUGGGAAGCAAAGUCUUGAUAAUAGAGGAGGUGGAUCAAACCAACAAGGGUUAGAAGAGGAUUUUCUAGGGUGUACCUACAGUUUCCAAGUGAUGCUUGAUAUGUUUGCAAUAAGAGUGCGG